GAUGAACGCUGGCGGCGUGCCUAACACAUGCAAGUCGAGCGAUUUACUUCGGUAAAGAGCGGCGGACGGGUGAGUAACGCGUGGGUAACCUGCCCUGUACACACGGAUAACAUACCGAAAGGUAUGCUAAUACGAGAUAAUAUGCUUUUAUCGCAUGGUAGAAGUAUCAAAGCUUUUGCGGUACAGGAUGGACCCGAGUCUGAUUAGCUAGUUGGUAAGGUAACGGCUUACCAAGGCGACGAUCAGUAGCCGACCUGAGAGGGUGAUCGGCCAGCUUUGAACUGAGACACGGUCCAAACUCCGACGGGAGGCAGCAGUGGGGAAUAUUGCACUAUGGGCGAAAGCCUGAUGCAGCAACGCCGCGUGAGCGAUGAAGGCCUUCGGGUCGUAAAGCUCUGUCCUCAAGGAAGAUAAUGACGGUAGUCGGAGAAGAAGCCCCGGCUAACUUCGUGCCAGCAGCCGCCGUAA
rnacentral:rRNA from 1 species